UUUUUGAUACAAUUGAUAAAUCUGCUAUGAAUUUAACAUACAUACCUAAAUACAAUAAAAACACCCAAAGAGUUCUAAUCGAUCCAAGCUUUUUCAAUUAAAAAUUCACCAAAUUUUGGAAAUUUUUGAAAACAAAAAAAAAUGUGUUUUCACCACGUUUUCAUUCACCAACCUCUCUUACAUUAGCAUUCAUUAUCCAUUAAUGUAAUCGUACGAUG
rnacentral:lncRNA from 1 species